rnacentral:rRNA from 1 species
ACUCCUACGGGAGGCAGCAGUGGGGAAUAUUGCACAAUGGGCGCAAGCCUGAUGCAGCCAUGCCGCGUGUGUGAAGAAGGCCUUCGGGUUGUAAAGCACUUUCAGUAAGGAGGAAAGGUUAGUCACUAAUAUUGGCUAGCUGUGACGUUACUUACAGAAGAAGCACCGGCUAACUCCGUGCCAGCAGCCGCGGUAAUACGGAGGGUGCGAGCGUUAAUCGGAAUUACUGGGCGUAAAGCGCAUGCAGGCGGCCUGUUAAGUCAGAUGUGAAAGCCCGGGGCUUAACCUCGGAAUUGCAUUUGAAACUGGCAGGCUAGAGUCUUGUAGAGGGGGGUAGAAUUUCAGGUGUAGCGGUGAAAUGCGUAGAGAUCUGAAGGAAUACCAGUGGCGAAGGCGGCCCCCUGGACAAAGACUGACGCUCAGAUGCGAAAGCGUGGGGAGCAAACAGGAUUAGAUACCCUGGUAGGAUAG